GAUGAACGCUGGCGGCGUGCCUAAUACAUGCAAGUCGAGCGAACGGACGAGAAGCUUGCUUCUCUGAUGUUAGCGGCGGACGGGUGAGUAACACGUGGAUAACCUACCUAUAAGACUGUGAUAACUUCGGGAAACCGGAGCUAAUACCGGAUAAUAUUUUGAACCGCAUGGUUCAUAAGUGAAAGACGGUCUUGCUGUCACUUAUAGAUGGAUCCGCGCUGCAUUAGCUAGUUGGUAAGGUAACGGCUUACCAAGGCAACGAUGCAUAGCCGACCUGAGAGGGUGAUCGGCCACACUGGAACUGAGACACGGUCCAGACUCCUACGGGAGGCAGCAGUAGGGAAUCUUCCGCAAUGGGCGAAAGCCUGACGGAGCAACGCCGCGUGAGUGAUGAAGGUCUUCGGAUCGUAAAACUCUGUUAUUAGGGAAGAACAUAUGUGUAAGUAACUGUGCACAUCUUGACGGUACCUAAUCAGAAAGCCACGGCUAACUACGUG
rnacentral:rRNA from 1 species